CUAACAAAACCCCAAACAGUCACUAUAGGUCUUAGAAAAUUCAUAUAUGCUUCCUUACUAAUGAGACUUUCUAUACAACAAAGUGAGGUCAUUCUGUGUUGAUUCAUACCAUAAGGUGCUGGCUAUCAUGUGUUUGAAGAUACCCUAAACUUAACCUAACCUAACCUAACAAAACACCAAACAGUCACUAUAGGUCUUGACUCAGAAAAUUCAUAUAUGCUUCCUUACUAAUGAGACUUUCUAUACAACAAAGUGAGGUCAUUCUUUGUUGAUUCAUACCAUAAGGUGCUGGCUAUCAUGUGUUUGAAGAUACCCUAAACUUAACCUAACCUAACCUAACAAAACCCCAAACAGUCACUAUAGGUCUUGACUCAGAAAAUUCAUAUAUGCUUCCUUACUAAUGAGACUUUCUAUACAACAAAGUGAGGUCAUUCUGUGUUGAUUCAUACCAUAAGGUGCUGGCUAUCAUGUGUUUGAAGAUACCCUAAACUUAACCUAACCUAACCUAACAAAACCCCAAACAGUCACUAUAGGUCUUGACUCAGAAAAUUCAUAUAUGCUUCCUUACUAAUGAGACUUUCUAUACAACAAAGUGAGGUCAUUCUUUGUUGAUUCAUACCAUAAGGUGCUGGCUGUCAUGUGUUUGAAGAUACCCUAAACUUAACCUAACAAAACCCCAAACAGUCACUAUAGGUCUUGACUCAGAAAAUUCAUAUAUGCUUCCUUACUAAUGAGACUUUCUAUACAACAAAGUGAGGUCAUUCUGUGUUGAUUCAUACCAUAAGGUGCUGGCUAUCAUGUGUUUGAAGAUACCCUAAACUUAACCUAACCUAACCUAACAAAACCCCAAACAGUCACUAUAGGUCUUGACUCAGAAAAUUCAUAUAUGCUUCCUUACUAAUGAGACUUUCUAUACAACAAAGUGAGGUCAUUCUGUGUUGAUUCAUACCAUAAGGUGCUGGCUAUCAUGUGUUUGAAGAUACCCUAAACUUAACCUAACAAAACCCCAAACAGUCACUAUAGGUCUUGACUCAGAAAAUUCAUAUAUGCUUCCUUACUAAUGAGACUUUCUAUACAACAAAGUGAGGUCAUUCUUUGUUGAUUCAUACCAUAAGGUGCUGGCUAUCAUGUGUUUGAAGAUACCCUAAACUUAACCUAACCUAACCUAACAAAACCCCAAACAGUCACUAUAGGUCUUGACUCAGAAAAUUCAUAUAUGCUUCCUUACUAAUGAGACUUUCUAUACAACAAAGUGAGGUCAUUCUUUGUUGAU